CGUCCCGGGGAUUUCUAUCUUAAUCAUAUGAGACAAAAUAUUGACUGGCGUGGCAAAGUUAGCUCCGUGAACUUCCCAACUACGCAGCCUCUCGCACUCACUUACACUCGCACUAAAGUCUAUAAAUACCGAGUGCGUAUUGCCUUUCCAAUCCAUCCAGCAGAGAAACAAUAUCUUUGAGAGUUACUUUUCAGUAGAAAGUCUUUCACCUCCUUUGCUUUUGUGUGAGAAAAAUGGCUUACUCCAAGACUUUCCUUCUCAUUGGCCUUCUCUUUGCUGUUGUUCUCAUCCUGUCCUCUGAGGUUUCAGCUCGGGAUCUAGCUGAAACAUCCCAAACUCAAGUGAGCGUGGAGGAUGCGAAGUACGGUGGGUAUGGACACGGGUACGGCCACGGAAAAGGACAUGGGUACCAAAAAGGACAUGGGCAUGGGCAUGGGAAACCUGGUCAUGGGGGACCUGGCCAUCCACCUGGUCAUGGUGGUGCUGGUGAGGAUGUGGAAGAGGGGACGCAGAAUUAGUGUAAUCAAUCCUUAAUUAUGUGGGCUACGCAUGAUUAGGGUGUGUUUUAUGUAAGUUUAUGAAAGCGUGUGUAUCAAUAAGGCAUGUGGGCUUAGGGUUACUCUCUAAGACCAGCAUGGCUGUGUUGUAGCUUCUAUGCUUAAUAUAAUGCUUUUUCAUGUGCUGUGCUAAAA